CCUACGGGAGGCAGCAGUGGGGAAUUUUGCACAAUGCGGGAAACCCUGAUGCAGCGACGCCGCGUGAGUGAAGAAGUAAUUCGUUAUGUAAAGCUCUAUCAGCAGGGAAGAAAAUGCCGGUACCUGAGUAAGUAUCCACGGCUAAUUCCGGGCCAGCCGCCGCGGUAAUACGUAGGGGGCGAGCGUUAUCCGGAGUUACGGGGGGUAAAGGGGACGUAGACGGCGGUGCAAGUCUGGAGUGAAAGGCGUGGGCUCAACCCUCGGAAGGCUCCGGAAACUGUACGUCUGGAGUGCAAGAGAGGAAAGUAGAAUUCCUGGUGUAGCGGUGAAAUGCGUAGAUAUUAGGAGGAACACCAGUAGCGAAGGCGGCUUACUGGACUGUAACUGACGUUGAGGCUCGAAAGCGUGGGGAGCAAACAGGAUUAGAUACCCUUGUAGUC
rnacentral:rRNA from 1 species